UACGUAGGGUGCGAGCGUUGUCCGGAAUUACUGGGCGUAAAGAGCUCGUAGGCGGUUUGUCGCGUCGAAUGUGAAGUCCCGGGGCUCAACCCCGGGUCUGCAUUCGAUACGGGCAGACUAGAGUUCGGUAGGGGAGUCUGGAAUUCCUGGUGUAGCGGUGAAAUGCGCAGAUAUCAGGAGGAACACCGGUGGCGAAGGCGGGACUCUGGGCCGAUACUGACGCUGAGGAGCGAAAGCGUGGGGAGCAAACAGG
rnacentral:rRNA from 1 species